UCAGUCCACAGCUUCAAAUCAUCCAAUCAGGUGUGAGUGAGAGCUGCUUUUCUACUGAACACACAAGUUGAUUUCCUCACUAUCACUGUGUCUGAACAGGAACGAUGAUCUCACUCUUUGUGGCGCUUUACUCUCUGCUUUGUCUCUGCACAGCUGUAAAAACAUCUGACAUCAAGGAGCUUCACGUGAGAACAGUAAAGAGUGGAGAAGAUGUAACUAUAGCGUGUGAUCUCAGUCUGAUCAGAGACAAAAGUAAAGUAGUCUGGUACAGACAGAGUUUUGGAAAAGUGCCUCAGUUUUUUGCAAAACGUUACGGGACAAAUAACUACACAUUUACUGAUGGAUUUAAUGAUAAUCGCUUCAGUAUUACUGUAAAUGAGCAUCAGUUUGAUCUCAACAUUAAGAACCUGAGAGAAGAUGAUGGAGGAGAAUAUUUCUGUGGAGAAAUGGAGGGAACUACAAUAAAGUUCACAUCUGGAGCACGUCUGCAAUUUGAAGAUAAAGAGAUGAAACUCUGUCCUUCACCUGGACCAGAAAUCAAGACCAUAGAUUCUGUUACACACCAGGAUUUAAGCGAUGGAAUAAAAACACACAAUAAAAAAAUCAAGAGCACAGGUUCUGAUCCACACCAGAAUUCAGACAGCACGACUCCAGAGCGUUGUGAUGGUCAGAUCCAUCAGAUUUCCCACAUCACAUAAGGCACAUGUUUGAGAGUUCAGGAGACAUGAGAAAGCUGACAGUUUGCUCUCAUAGAAAACCCUCAUGGAGCCUCAAAAAGAGCAAAACUGUUGCAGGCCCUGGGUAAGAGACCCCAAAAGGGCCAUUGGGGACUGAUUAUGAUUUUUCCCAGACCACACUGUGACCCUUUAACAUGUUUUAGGGCCCAAGUGAGGUCACUGUUGGCA